UACGGAGGAUGCAAGCGUUAUCCGGAAUGAUUGGGCGUAAAGCGUCCGCAGGUGGCUAUGUAAGUCUGCUGUUAAAGAGUGAGGCUCAACCUCAUAAGAGCAGUGGAAACUACAUGGCUAGAGUGCGUUCGGGGCAGAGGGAAUUCCUGGUGUAGCGGUGAAAUGCGUAGAUAUUGGGAAGAACACCGGUGGCGAAGGCGGCAUCCUGGACCAACACUGACGCUGAGGAGCGAAAGCCAGGGGAGCAAACGGG
rnacentral:rRNA from 1 species